CUCAUACCCCUAAAUAGGAAAUAAAAUCAGCCCUUACCGCUUUCUCUCACUCAACUCUUUCUCACUCAAUUCUCUCUCACCUCAACUCUUUUUCUCUGUCUAACUCUUCAUCUCCCUCAAACUAUUCAUUUUCCUCAGAAAAAUUCUGGUUUUCGUUAUUUCUCUCGUUUAGAUCUGGUAUUUUUGUUCAGUUGGUUGUGGUUAGGGUUUUGUUCAGUUGGUUGCAUCAUCGCUGCUUCUGUCUCUAAUCAUCAACGUCGUCUUCAAGCAUCACCACCGCUUCUUUAUCAGGUGCAGAUAUUAAUAUAGGAGGCUGAGCAGAAAAGGGAGCAGUUAUUACUGCACGGGUGAGACGAGACUAUGCGGAAAGACCUGGUCUAUUUUAUCAUUCUUUUGGUUUGUUUGAGUUUGAUAGGAUGACUUUGGAAAGGUUGAAGAUUGAAGAUUUGUGUAUUGAAGAAGAAAUGAUUUCUUUCUAAUGUAUCAGAUAGAUUUUUUGUUAUUAUUUAUUUAAGUAAGGUUGUAAAUUAUUCACAAAUUUUGAUUUAUCAUUUCUAUUUAUAUUGUAAUUACUUUUAUUACAUAUAAUAAUAAUUAUAAUUUUUCCUCUAAA